GCCUCUUUGUUCGCACCCUAAGAGGCCUCCCCGCUUUGACCUUCAGGGACCUCUUCCCUCAGAGCCUGAGUGGCCUCGCCGCUCCGACCCUGCUACUGCUGGUGGUGAGGUUCAGCCCUUGUGAGCAACCUGAGGGAGAAAGACUGAUGUUGAGAGCCCCCUGCUCAUGUCCCAGGCCCUAACACAACAUCCCACUGAACUGGAACCAAGAAGCCCACGGACUCCGCACCUGCUAUGUGCCUGCUUCUCAGGCUUACCUGCCAACAGCGGACCCCAUCUUCCUCAGCCUCCCAGCCAAGAACCACCUCAGAGGAACCUGCACAGCCUCUUCCUCAAAACCAGCAGGCGAGGCCCAGGAGCAGGAAGGGACUGUUUGCCAGGCUCGUCAGUCCCUCAUAAGGACACCCCCACUUUGUCUUUGUGUGCCUGUCCAGCCCUGCAACAUGCACCUGACUUUCCUAUUAUUAAGGAUAAUCCUCUUUAGCUCUUUCUUGGUUUCCAACAGCAAAAUCAAAUGAAAUUCAAGAAGUGGCAUUUUAGGCCAGAGGCUAGCCUAAAAACUGCACAUCUUCAUCAUUAACAAAAGAAAUCUAAAAAAAGAGAUGAAAUGUCACUGCUUUUUUGCAGCUGUGGAGAGAGGAGCAUGGUUUUGCAUCCAUAAAACUACUUAGAAGAACCUGAUUUCAUAAGGUCUUAAAUUAAGAACUCUCACAAGAAAUGCCAUCUUUAUGCAAUAUGGAUGUGUGAAUAUUCAUGACAGUAACCAAAUGGGAACAUCCGCUGUGAAAACAAAUCUGUCUUUUGAAGAGUUCUGAACAAAGGAGUCUGAUAAGACUCCCAAGCCUUUAGAAUUUAUUGCCUUGAACUGUGAAAAUAACCUCCAACCCUGUCCCUCCAUAGUUCUGAUCUGUUGUCUUACUAGAUCCUUUAUUUCACUGGUUGUAAUGUUGUAAUAGAUGUCUCCCAUCAGUGUAUUCCCAAGAGAUAAUAUACCUGUAAAAAUUUCUCUGUCAAUUGGAAAAUAAUCAUUGGCACUUUCCUCCUCUCUCCUGUGCAUGAUGUCACAAUUAAAAGCUUAUGAUCCCACAUGCCACAGAGCAACUAAGCCCAAGCGUCACAACUACUGAGCCUGCGCUCUAGAGCCCGCGAGCCACAACUGUUGAGCCUGAGUGCCACAAUUACUGAAGCCCGUGUGCGCCUAGAGUCCGUGCUCUGCAACAAGAGAAGCCACCGCACCGAGAAGCCCUGCACACCACAAGGAAGAGUAGAAGAGUAGCCCCUGCUCACCGCAACAAGAGAAAGCCCUUGUGCAGCAAAAAAGGCCCAACACAGCCAAUAAAUAAAAAUAAAUUUUUUUAAA